GAAAACCACUGAAUUGUACACUUUAAAAUGGUGAAUUUUUUGAUAUGCGAAUUAUCUCAUUUAGGUUAUAAUGUUAAGUAUUGCAGAGUAGAUGAUAAAGUUAAUAAAUUUUAUUGCAGUUAAACAACUCCAAUUAUGCCCGAUAAAAAUACAAUGAUUAAAUAAGUCAUUUGAGAUGAGCCGUGUGGAAAGAUUCAGGGCAAAUGCUUUGCCAUUUGGAAACAGUGCUAUUUCCCUGUAAGCUCCUGAACAGCAUGUAUAGGUAACAGAAAAGGGUAUUCUUUUCAAGUUUCAAAGCAUUAACUUAAUAACCAACCACCUAGAGCAAGAGCAGUGUUUUUUCUCAUUUUGAAAGGAGCCGCAGAUUGCUUUGCAAUGUUUUCAUUUUCUAUUCGUUCUUGAGAAGAAAUCAAGACUCUAGCCUAAUUAUGUGGAUGUAUUAUAUUUGUAUUCUUCCUUCACUGAUUUUGCUUCCUAAACAGUAACAAGUGUUCUAGACACAGGGGAUACAGCAGUGAACAAAAGAGACAAAAAUCCAUGCCUGCCCAGAUCUCACCUUGCGCAGAAAGAAAACAAACAUGAUAAAGAUGGAAACCAUGUAGCCGGUGAGAUGCCUUUAAAUGCUGUGGAGCAAAAUGGAACCUUGAAAGGGAAGAGGCCAUCUGGCACUAUUCUAGGCAGCAGCCAUACAACAGAGAAGAAAAUGGACAAAAGAGCUUACCCUCGUGGAGUUUUCAGGCUAUUGGAGAGAGGGAAGGACAAAGAGUUAACUAACUAAACAAAAGAUGGAGAACGACUGAUGAUGGCAGAAGAUUUUUCUUGGCUGCCAUGCUCGCUGUCUCCUCAUUGCAAAUUUGUCACGAGCCCCGUCUCCUCCAGCCUGUCCUACAUGUUGCUGUGGGCCCACCAGGUGUGAGGACAGUGGAACUCAUUGGCACAGGAGAUGAAGAAGCAAAACUAAACAUCUUUAGACAUCAUCUCUCCAUUCCCAACAAAGACCCCUUCCCACAGAGCAAACGUUGAGGCAAAAAAUGAACCUGAAUCCUUUAUAGCUCACAAUGCCAGCAAAUGAAGUGAAAGAACGCAGACGCUACCGAAAUGAGCUUCAUGUCUGAAGGAGGACUUGGACGUGAUCUCGUUUGAGGAGCUCUGAGAAUUAAUUCUGAAAUGCUGGAUUGAAGACUACAGUUGGACUUUUAAACAAAAAAGGCAAAUUCAGACACUGCAACUUCAGAAGAAGGUCAGCAGAAUCUCUCUCCUUCCUGGGCAGGAUAAAACGACCUCUUCAGCUCAUCCUGUAAUCGUCUGGGUCUGUUGUUUGUGGUAAAAAAUUUAUUCCACGAGUUGGUCAGGAACUUGUCUUUCGAGAUUCAACAAUCAGGCUUUUGAGUCAAAGCUUGUUCUCGCCAGCUACUGUCUCUGCUGUGAACUUCAAAAGCCUCUUUUGAAAAAGGUCUGAAUCCAAGAAACUGUGGCAAUCACAGACCCCUGAUACCUAGCAGAGGACCUUAGCCAUGUCAU